rnacentral:rRNA from 1 species
UACGUAGGGGGCAAGCGUUGUCCGGAAUCAUUGGGCGUAAAGCGCGUGUAGGCGGUUCGAUAAGUCUGCUGUGAAAGUCCAGGGCUCAACCCUGGGAUGCCGGUGGAUACUGUCGGACUAGAGUACGGAAGAGGCGAGUGGAAUUCCCGGUGUAGCGGUGAAAUGCGCAGAUAUCAGGAGGAACACCGGUGGCGAAGGCGGAUCUCUGGGCCAUUACUGACGCUGAGGAGCGAAAGCGUGGGGAGCGAACAGG